rnacentral:rRNA from 1 species
AGUGGGAAAGGAUGUAAGAUUACUUAGAUAGCCAGGAGGUUGGCUCAGAGGCAGCCAUCCUUUAAAGAGUGCGUAACAGCUCACUGGGUUAGCGAUCUUGCGCCGAAAAUUUAACGAGGCUCAAGUCUAUUACCGAAACUGCGGGGGCAGAGUUUUUGUAGUUUUACUACAAAGUAUAACUUUGCUUGGUAGGGGAGCAUUCUACGUUAGGUUGAAGGGGAACCGAAAGGUACCUGGACGAAGUAGAAGAGAUGAUGCCGGCAUGAGUAACGAGACAAGGAAGAGUAAACCUUGCGCCGAAAGCCUAAGGUUUCCUGGGGAAGGCUAAUCCGCCCAGGGUAAGUCGGUCCUAAGUCGAGGCGAAUAGCGUAGACGAUGGAAAGCCGGGUAGAAAAUUCCGGCACCACCUGAAUAGUGUUAAGCGAAGAGGGGACAUAGAGAGGUAAGCUCGCAUGGGGUUGAUUGUCUGUGUCCAAGCAGUUGAGGAGAUUGCUCAGGCAAAUCCGAGCGAUUGUUAAUCCAAAGCUGUGAUGGGGACCCCGUUUUUGGGGGAAGGAGUGGUUCCUUGCUAUCAAGAAAAGCCUCUAAGUGAUAUAUUUAGGUGACCGUACCGCAAACUGACACAGGUAGGCUGGCUGAGAAUGCUAAGGCGCUCGAGUAAACCCUCGUUAAGGAACUCGGCAAAUUGGCUCCGUAACUUCGGGAGAAGGAGUGCCU